rnacentral:rRNA from 1 species
GAUGAACGCUGGCGGCGUGCCUAAUACAUGCAAGUCGAGCGAAGCGGGGGCGGGUGAGUAACACGUGGAUAACCUCCUAUAAGACUGGGAUAACUUCGGGAAACCGGAGCUCAACCGGAUACUUAUACAUUGAUCCGCGCUGCAUUAGCGAGUUGGUAAGGUAACGGCUUACAAAGGCAACGAUGCAUAGCCGACCUGAGAGGUUGACCGGCCACACGGGAACGGAGACACGGCCCAGACUCCUCCGGGAGGAAGCAGUAGGGAAUCUUCCGCAAUGGGCGAAAGCCUGACGGAGCAACCCCGCGUGAGUGAUGAAGGUUUUCGGAUCGUAAAACUCUGUUAUUAGGGAAGCGGUACCUAAUCAGAAAGCCACGGCUAACUACGUGCCAGCAGCCGCGGUAAUUC